CCUACGGGAGGCAGCAGUAGGGAAUCUUCCGCAAUGGGCGAAAGCCUGACGGAGCAACGCCGCGUGAGUGAUGAAGGUCUUCGGAUCGUAAAACUCUGUUAUUAGGGAAGAACAAAUGUGUAAGUAACUGUGCACGUCUUGACGGUACCUAAUCAGAAAGCCACGGCUAACUACGUGCCAGCAGCCGCGGUAAU
rnacentral:rRNA from 1 species